UCCUUUCUCUCUCUCUCGGAUCACUUAUGCUAAAAUACACAAGCUGCCAUGUCACAAACAGCCCUGUGAAGAGGCCUACAUGAUACAGCAAAGAACUGAGGCCCUCAGUCCAGCAGCCAGUGAGGAAUUAACACCCUCAAUCCAACAACCUGUGAGGGAAUCAAGCCUGCUAAUGAUCAGAUAAGUGAACAUGCAAGUCCGUCCUUCAGUGCCAAUUGAGUCUUUUCUUUUUCUUGGGAUAGAAUCUUAUUCUGUCACAAAGCGGUAUGAUCUAGGCUCACUGCAACCUCUGCCUCCUGGGUUCAAGUGAUUCUCCUGCCUCAGCCUCCCGAAUAGCUGGGAUUAUGGGCACGUGCCACCACACCCAGCUAAUUUUUGUAUUUUUAGUAGAGACAGGGUUUUUCCAUGUUGAUCAGGCUGGUCUCGAACUCCUGACCUCAGGUGAUCCACCCACCUCAGCCUCCCACAGUGCUGGGAUUACAGGUGUGCACCACUACGCUUGAACUGAUUUUUGUAUUUUUAGUAGAGAUGAGGCUUCAUCAUGUUGGCCAGGCUGGUCUUGAACUCCCGGCCUCAAGUGAUCCACCCACCUCAGCCUCCCAAAGUACUAGGAUUACAGGUGUGAGCCACUGCACCCAGCCCCUACUUGAGUCUUAAGAUGAGACUGAAGGCCUGUCUGACAGUUUUACUGCAAUCUCAAAAGAGACCUUGAGCCAGCAAGAUCCAGCAAAGCCACUCUGGAUCCCUGAGCCACUGAAACUGUGAGGAAUGAACGUUCCCAAAUUGGAGCUGUCCAGCAAUAAGGUGGAUUGCCUUUGAAGAAGCUGAGUUCCUUGCCAUAGGAAGUAUUCAAGCAGAAAGGUACAAAGACUCAACGACAGAGUGCCAGAGAGGAUGUCUUAUGGAGAUGGUUGACAUAAACCUCUCUAACUGCAUGGGCUAGAAGGGAUCCAGGAAGCCCCCUACUUACGACAGGUUUAUUGGGACAAUGCCAUCAUAAAUCAAGAAGCAUCUGUAAGUCCACUGAAAUAAAACGCAAACCAGCAACUCAGAGAGGUUCAUUGACUUGCCGAAGGCCACAAAGCUGUUAAGUGUUCAAACAGAUGGCGUCAAACCAGAUCUUUAGCCUCAGGGACCAGAGCUCUGCAGCCUGGAGGGGACCUUCUGCAGCAUCAUUGCACAGAAGACAUCAAUCAAUCAGUCUUUCAGUGGCCUUACAUUUUUCUCCACUUGCAGGUUAUGGGUCACCAUUUUACAAAUUCCUCCAGGACAGAAAGAAACUGUUUCUCCUGCCUGUUCUUUCCCAGCCCAGGCUGUCACCGGGGAUCCAAAUGUCAGGCUUUAUGCAAGUUCUCGAUGUUGGAACCUCUCAUGAAAAGUGGAGUGAACAAGAGGGAAAGUGGGCAAACCUCAGGCCUCACAGCUUUAAUGCCACCGAUGCAUUUGGUGAGGGACCUGAUCUCUCUGCUUCCAAGACAGAGUCUUGUUGCUGUCUUCCGGAGGGGAGGAACCCCGUGUCCUCACGUGGCAGAAGAGCAUAAGAGAGCAAACCCACUCCUUCAAACUCGCCUUUUAGAGAUGGGGUCUCACUCUGUCACCCAGGCUAGAGCGAGCAUAGUGGUAUGAUCCUAGCUCAUUGCAGCC
rnacentral:lncRNA from 1 species